AGCUUUGCACAGUGGCAGUAUCAUAGCCAGUGAAGUUUAUCCAAGACAAGAUUUUUGCUAAUUGAAAAUUUAGUUUUCAAUAA
rnacentral:snRNA from 1 species